rnacentral:tRNA from 1 species
ACUGCACUAGUACGGAGAGGUGGGUGUACUAGGUGGAGGCGGCCUACACGCGGAUCGUGGCGGAGUUGCGGCGCCGGAUCGAGGCCGGCGAGCUGCGCC